GAAAACGGGCUCCUGUUUACAGACCAGGUCAGGAGGUUUGGCUGUCAGCCAAAGACAUUGUCCUAAAAGCUGCACCCAAGAAACUAUCUCCUAGGUAUUUGGGACCUUUUGAGAUCCAGGCUAUUGUGAACCCCUCUGCGGUCAGGCUCAAGCUCCCUCCUUCUCUCAGGGUCCAUCCCGUCUUUCAUGUGUCCCUGCUUAAGCCUGUGAGAUCCAGUCCACUUUACCCUCCGGAUAAUCCCCCUCCUCCCGUCCGUCAUGUUGAUGGGGGCCCGGUUUAUACCAUUAAUAAGAUACUUGAUGUCCGUCGAAGAGGCAGAGGUUUUCAAUACCUCGUGGAUUGGAAAGGUUACGGCCCUGAAGAACGCUCUUGGAUUCCCAGAUCAUUUAUUCUGGACCAGUCGGUUCUGAGGAGAUUUCAUGCUACCAGGGCUUCAGGUUCACCUGGACCGCCAGGUGGCGGUCAUUGAGGGAGGGGUAAUGUUAGGAUUCAAGUUGGUGUGAGUGCUCUUCUAACAGACGAUCUUCGUGGGAGCGUUUCCGGCAGACUGGCGCACCUGCAGCGGAUUCCCGCAAUCGGCUGCAGGAUUCUUAAGAAGCGGUGGAGCAGCUAUUCAUCGCUCGAUGGUCCCACUUGUUGAUCUCGAUCAGUUGUCUGGAUCAAGCCAGGAACCACGCCUAUCACAGCGCGCAGCAGCGGCUGCUCUUUGUCACCCGGACUCCUCCGCCUGCCGAUCGUGCCCCUGUCACUCUCGCAGAACCUCUGUGCCUCUUGGAUCCGUUCCCCUUCCUCAGCAACCCUGCAUCAGACGAACUGUAAGCAAUACUCUCCAUUCCCCUGUCAAGAUUCCCUCAACCCGGUUCUCACUAACCUCUCCCUCUCCAAGCAGAACCGGAGCCGCCCAACCGCUGCCGGUUCGAGAGUCAACCUGGAUUAGAUUUCAUUCAACAUUUAUUGUUAAAUAAAUAAUUUUGAAUCAAGA